rnacentral:rRNA from 1 species
GACGAACGCUGGCGGCGUGCUUAACACAUGCAAGUCGAACGGUCAAGCGCCUUCCUUUUUGGUGUGUGUGGAUGAGUGGCGAACGGGUGAGUAACACGUGAGUAACCUUCCCCCUUCUUCUGGAUAACCGCAUGAAAGUGUGGCUAACACGGGAUAUUCUGGGUCUGUCGCAUGAUGGGUCUGGGACAGAUUUUGUUUCGGUGGGGGAUGGGCUCGCGGUGUAUUAGCUUGUUGGUGGGGUAAUGGCCUACCAAGGCGGCGAUGAGUAGCCGGCCUGAGAGGGGGGUGGGCGACAAUAGAGGGAAGGCGCGGUGGAGCAGACUACGAGAGGCAGCAGCAGGGGGUAAUAUUGCACGAGGGGAGGAAGGACGGAGCAGCGCCGCGGCGGGAGUGAUGGAGGCCGGAGCGUAAUGAUCCUCUAUCGGGAGUGAAGAAAGGUGGAAUCAUCUGUGCGUGGGUUGACGGUACCUGGACAGGAAGCGCCGGCUAACUACGUG